AGAAGAAAAGACCUUCAACUGACUUGAUUUCUGGAUCUUUCUUUCACUCCAGGACUGCCGUGCAAGCGGUGUCUUCUGGCUCGUGUCUGUUUUGAGCAAAAUGGAAAUUCCUUGAAGCCUUCAGAGAGCAUUCAUCUGGCCAAGUUAAUGUUAUAUAUUGGUCAUGAGUUUGAUGCCACCUUUGCCAUGAGUUUCUCGCAUUUGCUACAAGGAAGGAGAAACGCUUACUUUGCUGUGGUGUUGGAUCACCAAGUGUUCAUUUUGAGCAAGGCAAGAUAUUAGGACAGCAGUGAAUAUUACAUACUGUGAGAUUGACAUGUAACAUUAUUUUUGGUGCAUUUGUUGUUCAAAUGCUGAGUAGUGUUGUAACCCAGAGGUGAAAACCGUUUUUGGAUGAAUAAAUGUUCAGCUAAAUAAAGAGGAAAAAAAUCUUUAAAGAAA